UAGUGUAUCCAACUUUAUAACCCAAAACUCUAAAUAUAUAUUAUGUAAUUUUAAUUGGAAAUAGUUUCACAUAGUGAUUUUAAAGAAAUUAGCAUCAAGUUCUUUGUGAACUCUGGGCAUUGAUAAUUUCACUUUUAGACGCAUGGAAGUCAGAAGUAUGGUAGAGAACUAGUGGAUUUAUAGAAUUGAAAUGUUAUACAGUUAUACUCAGGGGUUAGUACCCUGAUGGUUGGAACUACAAUUAGCUAUGCAAAAGCAAAGAAAGGGUGUCUCACUCAAGUAAGUUUGAUUUUGCAUCUUAUUUGAACUUACUUACAUAAGCACCCGAAUAAGUGUGUAAUGAAAAUAACUUAUGACAUACCCAGGGGCAUGGUUGUCAAAAUCGGGAUCUCGAUAAAGAUCAUUAAGGUAUAGAAAAAUUGUAAAUCGUAAAUUUUAACACGGAUCGUAAGAUCUCAACAAAUAGACAAAAUUAUAGAAAUAACUAGAAAAAAUUACUUUAACAUAAAAUUCUCAUUAAUUUAAUCAUCAAUAGCAAAUAUUUUAUACAAAAAAAACAUAAUAGAAGGAUUUGAUUUGAAUUUAUAGAAAAGAUAGAUGAAGGGAGGAAAUCGAUUCAUUGUAUGAUUAAUCGAUACAAAAUUCUCAGAGUUCUCGUGCCUUUUGUUUGCGGACAAUCUUUAUUUUACAACUCUCAAAAGCUCAUUUAAAAUAUUGCAAGUCCCAAAACUCUAAAGUAUGUGUGCACAAUAGUCAGGGUUAAUUAUGGAUCAGUUUAUAGGCUGAUUCCAAGAUCUCAUGAUUUAAAGAUCUUUCUCUAGGAGUUCACGCUCCAGCCAUAUCCAAGAUCUUUGUGCCACUUAAAUCGGUGGCACGUUGCCAGCGCAUAAGAUCGUAAGAUUUGGGGAGUUAGAAUGAGAUCCCGACAACCAUUACCAUGAGUUCUUUACGGUUUAUCUAAAAAAAUCAUGAUUAUCUAUGAAAAUAGCUUACAAUUUAUACCAGAACAAUUGAACCAUAUUUUCUUUAUAAUUAUCAAAACACUUACGUAUUCAUUAAAGCUUGCCUAAUUGCAUGCUAUAUUUUAAAUGUAUACCCCACCCACUCACUCACCCAACUAUCCAUUUCUUCAAUAAUAAUUAAUUGAAUUUAUGAUGUAUAGGAACUUCUUCAAUCAAUGCCACCCAUCACUUUGUAGUAAGACCAUCAUAAAUACAAAGUUUGGUAGGUUCAUUGAAAACACGUCAAUUUUUUUUAAGGGAGUCAUAUUUCAUUUUUGUGAAUCACCAUUCAAAAAGAAAUUCUACAUUCUGUGAAUCAAAAUAUAUUUUAAGUGAUUCUACAUUGAUAUUUGCAUUGCUCUCUACAUUCUUUGAAUCAUGAUAUCUCAAUAUCGUCCAGAUUUUCGUGUAAUAAUGAUGGAGAGUAAACUUCUUAGACUUCCAAAGAUAUAUGUGAAAAAAUAUUGGAAAGGAACCUCAAAUCCCAUAUUUUUUAGGCUUCCAAAUGGUGUUCAACACAAAAUAUUCUGGGAAGAACGUGAUGGUGAUGUUUGGUUUCAAAAAAAUUGGAAAGAUUUUGCAAAGUGUUUAAAAUAUGGAGAUAUCUUAACUUUUAAACAUACUGGUGGAGCAUAUUUCAAAGUAAAGAUAUUUGGUAGAAAUUCUUUAGAAAUAAAUUAUUCAAAUAUCAAAUGUUUAGAUGAAGUUGUUGAUUUAAGUGAUGAUGAGAGUGAAGAACGCACACAAACUCAAAAGAGAAAAAAUGGCAAAAGAAAAGUUGCAGAUUUGAAUCCAAGUAGAAACAAAGGUGUGAUUAAGAAGGCCAAGAAAUGUUCAAACAUAGGAAAUAUUGAUGAUGGGAGAGUUAAUAAGGAGAUUCCAUAUUUUGAAGUCACAUUGACACCAACUUAUGUCAAUUAUUAUAGUAUGAGGAUACCAAAUGUGUUUUCAAGAAAAUAUUUGAAAGAGACGGAAGAAAUUGCAAUCUUGAAAGUUGGGGAGGACAUGACUAUGGAAGUGGGGUUCAGGUUUGAUGCUAAUGCCAAAGGAAUGGUUUUUCAAAAUGGUUGGAAGAAUUUUUCACAAAAAUAUAAUUUACAAAUUGGUGAUAUUUGUAAAUUUGUGAUGACACAAUCCAAACCACUUUUAUUUUCCAUUGCUAUUACUCGAGCCAAAAUGGAAUCAAAACCUAAGAAGUUCCAAGGUGUCUCUUCGGGUGAUGAUACAAUUCCAAAAAGAAAAAGCAUUGGAGAAAGUUCUAGAGGUAGAGGUCGCCCAAAAAAACAUGUUUCCAAAGAUAUGGUGUGAAGGUCCAAAUUUGUUGGGAGUUCAAUGCAACAACCUUAACAAGAGAGUUGUAGCACAAGACUUGCACUAUCAAGAUCUAUGGAGUACAGCCAUCUGUAAGUAAUGUGCUCAGUGGUGGUAAAUCAGGAAUCAGUGAAAUGCGAUUGAUUUGUUGAUAUUGGUACGUAGAUAAAACUGUUGAAAUUGUUUCAUUUAGAGCAUAAUAUAAUUAUUUUCUUCACAUUGUCGAUCUAAAUCAACCAUGUCACUCUUUGCAAUGUGUAAUAAAUUGUCUUUCACUCUAGAAGAUUAUCAUAAGUAAAGUAUUUGAAUGUAACUACAUGUGUUGGUGUCAUCGAUUACAGGUGCAUAACUGUGGUUACAUAUGUUCACAUGAUUUGUUGUUUAAGCAUCCAUAUGUAAAAUACGGUUAAAAUUUUGUAGAACAAUGUUAUUUAGUACUCUCUUCUUAUGUCUUGAAUUUGUAGGAAUCGAUGAAAUGCGAUUGAUUU